GAAAGUCAAAGUCUUUGUUUAUAAAGGAAUAUAAUCACAGAUUAUUUAACUGGUUGGUGGCCUUUUCGCUUGUAAUGGUGACUGUGGGCUGUUUUGUCAUAAAAUUCAUUUUGCUUGAAACCGGAGCGUGGAUACUUUUUAUAUUUUUUGGAGACGUACACACGGAUGUUUUGGUCACCUGAGUCUCUAUAUUACAAUCCCGUUUGGCAUGGCGUUAUCUUGAUGCCUUUAAAAAAUAAUAAAGAAAAUACUAUCUUUGGGGGCUUGCCAUUUGGCUAAACAUGCUUUUGAUGAGGUAAAAAGUUGAUCUAGACUCCUUGAGUGAAGAGUCUUACAAGGACAUCAUCUUGAUCAUGAAGCUCUCGAGAGAUAACCUCACCCUCUAGACCUCUGAUUCGCAAGUACUUCAUACGCUUCUCACAUAUAUAAAAGCCAAUAAACAUAUUUCAUGGGAGCCGCCCCUGAAUCGCUUACAGUGAUUUGCCCGGUUGAUGAAAAAUCCCAGAUGUACCACUUCUAAGGCCCUGGACUUUUACUACGCUUUGGGCACCCAAACUGGUUGAGCCGCCCCUGAAUCGUUUAUAGGCUGUAAUGAAGGUUCUACCAGAACUAAAUGGAAAACUGACAGGUGUGGCCUUUAACUUGUCAACUUGAGAAGAAGGCUUCUUAUGAAAAUGUUAAAGCUGCAGUCAAGUAUGCACUAUAAAACGGGUUUCAAGCAACAUAUGAUAUCAAUGACAUAAACAAAGGAGCUGUGCUGAUAUUUAUUUAGCGAUGAAGCUUAAAAUUAGACAAUGUAUGCAUUAAAAGCACCAUGACACAGAUCUGUGUACUUUAUAAUAUAUAUUUGCAUAACUUGAGAGUUUACAUCGACACAAUUGGUAGACACAUCUAGCUGUGCUUUGUAAGUCCAUCUUCAAUAAUUGUCUUUUCGGGGA